UACGAAGGGGGCUAGCGUUGUUCGGAAUUACUGGGCGUAAAGCGCACGUAGGCGGACAUUUAAGUCAGGGGUGAAAUCCCGGAGCUCAACUCCGGAACUGCCUUUGAUACUGGGUGUCUUGAGUGUGGAAGAGGUGAGUGGAAUUCCGAGUGUAGAGGUGAAAUUCGUAGAUAUUCGGAGGAACACCAGUGGCGAAGGCGGCUCACUGGUCCAUUACUGACGCUGAGGUGCGAAAGCGUGGGGGAGCAAACAGG
rnacentral:rRNA from 1 species